rnacentral:rRNA from 1 species
GAUGAACGCUAGCGGCAGGCUUAAUACAUGCAAGUCGAGGGGCAGCAUGAUUGUAGCAAUACAAUUGAUGGCGACCGGCAAACGGGUGCGGAACACAUACACAACCUUCCAACAAGUGGGGGAUAGCCCAGAGAAAUUUGGAUUAAUACCCCGUAACAUAGCGAUGUGGCAUCACAUUGCUAUUAUAGAUUUUUCGCUUGUUGAUGGGUGUGCGGCUGAUUAGAUAGUUGGCGGGGUAACGGCCCACCAAGUCUACGAUCAGUAGCUGAUGUGAGAGCAUGAUCAGCCACACGGGCACUGAGACACGGGCCCGACUCCUACGGGAGGCAGCAGUAAGGAAUAUUGGACAAUGGACGCAAGUCUGAUCCAGUCAUGCCGCGUGAAGGAUUAAGGUCCUCUGGAUUGUAGACUUCUUUUAUAAGGGACGAAAAAAGGCUUUUCUAAGUCGUCUGACGGUACCUUAUGAAUAAGCACCGGCUAACUCCGUGCCAGCCGCCGCAGUAAUAC